rnacentral:rRNA from 1 species
UGGGGAAUAUUGCACAAUGGAGGAAACUCUGAUGCAGCGACGCCGCGUGAGUGAAGAAGGUCUUCGGAUCGUAAAACUCUGUCCUUGGUGGCGAAAAAAAUGACGGUAGCCAAGGAGGAAGCCCCGGCUAACUACGUGCCAGCAGCCGCGGUAAUACGUAGGGGGCGAGCGUUGUCCGGAUUUACUGGGCGUAAAGGGUGAGUAGGCGGUAAUAUGUGUCAGAUGUAAAAGGCUAUGGCUUAACCAUAGUUAGCAUUUGAAACUGUAUUACUUGAGUGCAGGAGAGGUGAGUGGAAUUCCUAGUGUAGCGGUGAAAUGCGUAGAUAUUAGGAGGAACACCAGUGGCGAAGGCGACUUACUGGACUGUAACUGACGCUGAGUCACGAAAGCGUGGGUAGCAAACA